AGGCAGGAUUAGGACAUGCUAUGCAACACAACUGCUUUAAAUCCAUUUGCAGGAAUUCUUAAUUCCCAGACAUGUUUAAAUCUGAAAGUGGUUUGUUGGGUUUUUUUAAGUGUCGGUGCUGUUUUGUGAGCUGCGGGAAUGUGCCUUGGGAAAGCAGUUUGUGGGUAGAAGUUAACUGUCAUUUUGGGUAAUAAAAGGAGUAAUAGGGAGAGGUGAGACGGAAAGCCGAAAGAGCAGUACAGGUUGCAACUGGCAGUGAAGGCCAGGUGUUAGUUUAGAGAAGGUGUUUGGUAGCAGUGGAGCAGAGGGGGAACGCUGGUGGCGGAGGAGGCCCCAUGGGACGGGGCUGCUGACCUCUUGUGGAGAAAUCUGGGAGGGUGGGUGGCUGCUCGGGAGAGCAUCUGUGCUGCAAACAACCCCUGGAAUUACCAAGCUUUCCCUCUGGUGCUAUCCUGGAUACCUGCAGUCUAACACUGAACGAGUCUGGAAGAGGUGUGUCACCUCCAUACCCUUCCAGAUGUAGAGAGAAGCCUCGGCAUUUUGGCUGGAGGUCUGCUUCUGCUUGCUAUGCCAAACCUCAACACCUAGGUUGUGUGAGCGCAGCCGCUUGCCCAGCUGUUGUGCUGUAGGGAGGCUUGUUAGCGUAUGGAUAGUGCAUGGUGAUGCUGUGCUGCCUGUAGUCCCUUCUUACCUGCUCGGCUGAGCGCAGGAAGGUAAGUGUCAGUAGUCCUAGUCGCAGGGGGUGAAAUGGGGUCAGAACUUAGUUGCAGUUAUGACAAGUAUUUAUUAAGUUAGAAGUAGUUGGGAGAGGGUUGGUGACCGAUCUGCGGGGUACAGCCUGGUCUCACUUCUCUUGUCAGAUACAUGAUCAGUACUUCAGAUACCGAUUACUUAUGCCACUGUUUAAGAACAGGAUGAAACAUUGUUCAAACCGCAUUAUCUAUUUAUUGUUGCAGUAAGAAGUUGUCAGCAGAUGGCAGCAUCCGACUUCGAGGGCGAUCUGUGAGAGAGGCGUCCAGUGAGGCUUUGGCGUUGCUGGCAUCCCUGGGGUCCCUGCUCCUUCCGCAGAGCUGAACACUCUAACUUCUCCUGUGCUCUGGCCCACAAAGAGAAUUUGUUCUUGUCUUUGGUGCAACAGAGCCUGGUUUAAGAUAAUAUGGGAGGUGAGGUAAGCGUGGAUCUUCGAAAUACCCCAACAGGGUAAGAAGCCUGGCACGUAACAGUGGCUUCACUGGAAAAUACACUUUCUCCUUCUCAUCCUUUCAAUUUGUUUUCUACAACAGGUAAUUCAAUCAGAUCCAUUCCCCUAGCUGGAGCAUGUGUUUUGUUUCCCGAAUUCAUGUGCCAAUUACUUGCACCAGAAAUGCAAGCAGUAAUUAAACCUGGAUCUCCAGUGUCUGAACAGUUAUCUUCUUGUCUCUUUUUGCCUACCAAACUCUAGAUGCAAGCCAGCAAUGACAGACAAGGAUGUGUGUGGUGGUGUGGCAGACAACAAAGGGAGAAAAUGGGCUGAAGUGAUGUUUCAAUGUAAGAACAUGUGGAAAUGGACAAUCUUGGACCUCUACUGUCCUGUUUAAACCUUGAGGGAAGCUGGCUGGUGGAUUUCAGAGCUGUUUGGGGAAGGGAAGAGAACCAGGAGGACAAAAUAAGGGACUGAGCUCUGUUUCCUUGAGAAAAAUCAUGAGACAUUUCCAAUGAGGAGCCAAGAGGUUCUCAGGUCGGCUGUGAAUGCUGAGUACUGUCUCAGAAGCUGUCUUGGAAGCCUUUCCAUUGAAGGGAAUAAUUAUACUGUGGCAAAAGUAUUUACUUGCCAGCGUUGUCUGCUCCUUUAUCUUUGGGUGCGAGUGCAAUAAGUGAUGUGAAAGAGCUUAUGGUAUGCCCUGCCAGCGAGAGGCCACUGUGGACCUGUAAAAGGUGGCUGAAGAAGCAGCUGAGAACUGAUGGUCGAAAGCAUGAGUAGGCAGCAACGGUGUUGGGAAGGAAAUGUGGGGAAGGCUAAUGCAGAGUGCAGCUGGAGAGGCUGAGGAACGCAUAUCUCCUCUGCCUGAAAGGAGGGGGAAGGUGUUUCUCUGGUGAUGUUAUUCAUGGUUGGAGAUUCACGUGGCAUCUUCAGAAGCCUCCUGUCAUGGAGAAAAUGAUGCUCUGGAGGACAGUCUUGGCCAGGUCCAGCUUGUAUUGACUUUGGGUGGCAUCAGGAUCUGUCUUUAGUUCUGGUCUUCACUAGUGCUUCCCUAUUGCCUGAGCAUCUCCCAGAGCUGGCAGCAGAAGUGAUGGUUUGAGGAUCUCCCUGUCGUGCUGUUUAACGUGCUGGUAAGGAUGGAGGUGUCACAGCUUGUGGACCAGCACCCGAAUGUGCUGGCUGCUGGGAAGCCUGUCAUCCCAUUGCUGUCUCUCAGUGAGCCGUGCCCUGGCACAGGAAUGUCCCUGCUGCCUGGGGCAUGCACACAGAGGUGCUCAAAGACACUGCAGUACCACCCAGGAGGUUACAGUGCCCCAGAACUGCCUGCAUUUGGGGGAGGUUUCUGUGGUCCUCUCCAAGAUUCAGCUGAUUGCUUCUUCAGGCCUGCCAGAGGCUGCAGUCCCCUCCUUACAGCAACACUGGCACUUUCCACAGCAGGGAAAGGGAAACUUGGAGACGUGGCAACCAAUUUGCAAAUAAUAAAACACUUAAAGCUAUAUGAAAAGCAUCUUGCAUGGAAAAUCAGACAGGGCAGGAAAAACAGCACUUACUAUCAACAUAAUGCAGCUGAGAACUCUUUCUGAGAGAUAAUCAUCUCUGACUCCAGCAGUAAAAAUAAAGGACAAAAGCUGGAAGAAGCCAGAAAGCACAGUCGUGGGAGUGAAUCUGGGUGAAAUGAAAAUUAAAAACACAAUGAAAGGCAUAGAAUUGCCUUAAGUAAAAACAGAGCUGUCUGCCUAGAACAACAACUGAGAUUAUAUGGGAAGCACAUGGGGGUGUGGGGAGCCAGGCUGAGCGUGGGGCUGCAGCGGGGCUGGUGCUGUGCCAGUGCUCAGCUGCGAAGUAAGGGAGGGGAAAGAGCCCCUGGCUACGCCUGAGAAACGUCCAGGUGUCCCUCACAGUCUAGGAGACAUUCAGGUUCUUGCUUUUAGCACCCAACCUGAAGGAUAAAGUAAUUUAUGGUCUGUCUGAAGGAUAAUGGCUGAUCCUGGCCACUGCCUGCUUCUGCCUGGUGAAGCUCAUCCCUGAACUGCUGACCUUUAAAUGGACAGCAUGUGCUGAAGUGGCCUUCUACAGCAAAUCUCAGCGAGGCUCGCAUUUAAAGGUCUGUGCAAGUCAGUCCUCAUCCAAAGCUCAAACAACUGAACGGAAGAUUUCCACUGGCACAGAUCCAACCCCCACCAGGCUGUGAUGGCUCAGAGAGGCAGAGCUGCCAGCUGGACCCGGUUGGGAGUAGCCCAUGGAGUUCAUUAUUGUCCCUGCUAUGUGAGAGCACGGUCUUACGCAAAUCAGAGCCACAAAACUGGGCUCUAAAUGUUGUUUCCCACUCCAAAAUGCCAUUUGGAGACCUACAUUUAAAAAUAGGUAUUGCUUUUUAAGUGCUACAGGAGAUGCACAGCCUUUUACCGAAGGAUGCCGACGUAUGGUGUGAAUACAUAUGUCUUGUGACUGUUUCAGGCUGAGCUUGAUGGAUUUGUUACACUAAGUGUCAUAAAAAUCAAACUGCUCAAUGAACUAUCUGCUAUUUCCCACAACACCAAGAAAGCACCUGGGGCCCUUUUGCUCCCCAUAGACAAUGGCACACAAGGGCUUAUGCACCUCUCUUGCUCUGGUGCUGCUGCUGGCUGCUCUCUUCCAGAGAUGCAAAAAAGAGACUCCUAACUACAUGCUAAUUACAUUUUCAAAGCUUCAGCUGAUGUUAAAAUGAUUCAACCAUUGCCUGAACUCACAUACUUCUGUUUGUUGCCUUUUGUGUGCUGUGUGUAGCUUUUCAUAUGACUCUGCCUAUUUUCUACCAAAAUCAUGGUUUGGGAGCUGCUGUACGACAAAGGAUGUUUUUAUCCUUUUUGAAGACCUUUUGAGUUAUCCUUGGCCCCAGCUACCUGAAAUACAGAUUCAUGCACAUAUAUUCUGUCUGCAGGCAAAGAACAGAGGCUGGAAUAGACUUUACAACUGUGGUUCUUAAAUUUUAUAAGUCAAAGGGCUGCCUGACCUUCUGGGGGAAAACAAAAUGCCUGGGAACCAUCAUAUCUGAUGCUUCCAGCCUGGUGUCCAUUUAUGACCAAGUAACUUCUUUAUAGGAUAUUUCUUUUACUAGUUUCGCUUGCCCUUUUGUUUACUUGCUUGUCUUGGUGGGAAUGUGCUCAGUAAAUGUCUUUGUCUCUCUUCAUGGGUCACUGGUGUCUCACCCAGCACCCUUGGGUCUAUACUGAAUGUGGGUCUUCAGCCCUUGUGGCCUCUGCCCCAUCAGUCUUAAUGUGGAGCCUGCUAAGCUGAGGAAAACAGUCACUUCUCUGCAGAUGGUGUGAUGAAAUUAGUCCUUUUCUUAGUUUUUCUUGUUUUCUUGGACAUGCUCA